UACGUAGGGUGCGAGCGUUAAUCGGAAUUACUGGGCGUAAAGGGUGCGCAGGCGGGCUUUUAAGCCAGACGUGAAAUCCCCGGGCUUAACCUGGGAAUGGCGUUUGGGACUGGAAGUCUGGAGUGCGGCAGAGGAGACUGGAAUUCCUGGUGUAGCAGUGAAAUGCGUAGAUAUCAGGAGGAACACCGAUGGCGAAGGCAGGUCUCUGGGCUGACACUGACGCUCAUGCACGAAAGCGUGGGGAGCAAACAGG
rnacentral:rRNA from 1 species